GACGAACGCUGGCGGCGUGCUUAACACAUGCAAGUCGAACGCUGAAGCUUGGUGCUUGCACUGGGUGGAUGAGUGGCGAACGGGUGAGUAAUAAGUGAGUAACCUGCCCUUGACUCUGGGAUAAGCCUGGGAAACUGGGUCUAAUACUGGAUACGACAUGUCACCGCAUGGUGGUGUGUGGAAAGGGUUUUACUGGUUUUGGAUGGGCUCACGGCCUAUCAGCUUGUUGGUGGGGUAAUGGCUCACCAAGGCGACGACGGGUAGCCGGCCUGAGAGGGUGAACGGCCAAAAUGGGACUGAGACACGGCCCAGGAUCCGAAGGGAGGCAGCAGUGGGGGAUUAUGCACCAAUGGCGGAAGCCUUGAGCAGCGACGGCGCCUUGGGGAAGACGGCCUUUCGGUUGUAAACCUCUUUCAGCACGGAAGAAGCGAAAGUGACGGUACGUGCAGAAGAAGCGCCGGCUAACUACGUG
rnacentral:rRNA from 1 species